UAAGUAAGCGGAGGAAAAGAAACUAACUAGGAUUCCCUUAGUAAUGGCGAAUGAACAGGGAUCAGCUCAGUGCCUAAUCAGAAUCACUUGUGGUUCUGAAAUGUGGCUUGAAGGCAGUACCAGUGGCAACGCGGACGAAAGUCUCUUGGAAAAGAGCGUCAUAGAGGGUGAGAAUCCCGUGAGUCGUUUGCAGUUUGUCACGUACGGUCUGUGUUCUAACGAGUCGCGUUCCUUGGGAUUGGAGCGUAAACGGGUGGUAAAUUUCAUCCAAAGCAAAAUAUAUACUCGAGACCGAUAGCACAAAAGUACCGUGAGGAAAGGUGAAAAGAACUUUGAGAAGAGGGUUAAAUAGUGCCUGAAAUCGUUGAGAAGGAAGCGGAUGCCGCCGUUGCAUAUGCUGAUUGUAGGAUUGCUGCAUGCUUGUGUCUUCUGCUACUUAUACACAGACCUAGUCGUGUUGAGCAGUUGUUUGGCACUCGUGCGUGGUGUUUCCUGCUUUCAGCCGUCAGCAUCAUUGGUUGAGCGGAAAUAACCCUUGGAUGCUAAUUGGUUCGCUAUGCGAAUUGGUUGCUUCUUUGCGAUACUCGCUGCUCGGUCAAUGAGGAAGUGCGUUUGAUGGUCAACGAGUUGUCUCACUGUCAUUACCCUGCGCUUUUCGAUUCGUCGAGUUGCCAGGAUGUGGCUCUAAGAUUGCUCGCACUUAGUAAUCGCGAUGCUGGCUUCCAACGGUUGCCUCCGGCCCGUCUUGAAACACGGACCAAGGAGUCUAACGUAUGUGCGAGUGUGUGAGUGGCAAACUUAUACGCGUAAUGAAAGUGAGGCCGUAUGGCCAUGUUGGGGUCACCAACAACCGACCUUGAUCUUCGGUGAAAGGUUUGAGUAUGAGCAUAUCCGUUAGACCCGAAAGAUGGUGAACUAUGCCUGAGCAGGGUGAAGCCAGGGGAAACUCUGGUGGAGGCUCGUAGCGAUA
rnacentral:rRNA from 1 species